CUUUUUAAUGGAAACAUAGCACACACUUACUUCAUUUCAGAUUAUUAAAUUGUGUUAAGCCUUAAAGUUAGUUGCCAUUCUUUGCUGUAGCUCAUUUGUUCUUUUCAAUCCAGAGAAAUACUAGAACGUUAAAACUUAUCACAUAGGAGGGUUUAAUCAUCCUACCAAAAUUAGACAGCAUGUAGCUCUGAAAGACUGAAUGUCAAAUUGUGUGCUCGUAGCCCUUAAACUACUGAGAAUCUAGGACCCCACUACUACAUUUAAAAUGACUGUUCAUGUUUGUGGAAAACCGUGGACGUUUAGGAACUGGUAAAGCUAGAGGUCUCUUACUCUUUGAUUAAGGUAAGGACAUUUAUCGUUUAUGUAAACUUUUUAGAUUAAUUGCUGUACUGACAGUUUGAGAACAAUUCCUUUUGAAGGAAAAUGGAGAGGCAGGCAGUGUUCAUUGCUAUGUCCGGCAUAAAUACAGUAGUUAACAUAUAUAAAGUAGCCCAAAGAGUAUUGUGUUUAGCCAAAGCAUUCUGAGCUUCUCUUUAAUAAUUAUGAUUUCUUAAGUGGUGUUAAAAAGAAUUGUGCAAAGUACCUGUUCUACCAUAUUAUUGCUGUUUACAAGGGCUGGGUGUGAUGAGAAAAAGAAAUCUGGGUCAAAAUAAAAAAUGCUUUGUAAAAUAAACAAAGUUCCUAUUUACUUACUAUGUAUAAACAGCCACUCACCAAGCCUCAUUUCUCCGCAGGGCACCACUUUCAGAUAAAAACAUAGACCUGAAUGGCAUCAUCCAGUAUCCAAGGAAACCAUAUUAUCUUUCCUGCCUGGGUUAUAUCUGCAGAGCAGCCGACACUCAUUCUUAUAAAUGUGUUUAUGUUUGAGAUUGGAUGUAGUGGAGGAUGGAAGGAUAUAAAAUGAGAGAAGGUGAGUGAAAGGGGGAGAUUUUUAUAUUUGGAUUGUUAGAAUGCUGUCAUGCUAGCUUUUUUUACUUGGAUUUACUGAAUUUUCCAGUCAGAGAGUG
rnacentral:lncRNA from 1 species